AUUGAACGCUGGCGGCGUGCCUAACACAUGCAAGUCGAGCGGUAACAGGUGUAGCAAUACAUGCUGACGAGCGGCGGACGGGUGAGUAACGCUUGGGAAUCUGCCUAUUAGUGGGGGACAACCCGGGGAAACUCGGGCUAAUACCGCAUACGCUCUACGGAGGAAAGCCGGGGACCGCAAGGCCUGGCGCUAAUAGAUGAGCCCAAGUCGGAUUAGCUAGUUGGUAGGGUAANGGCCUACCAAGGCGACGAUCCGUAGCUGGUCUGAGAGGACGACCAGUCACACCGGAACUGAGACACGGUCCGGACUCCUACGGGAGGCAGCAGUGGGGAAUAUUGGACAAUGGGCG
rnacentral:rRNA from 1 species